rnacentral:rRNA from 1 species
GAUGAACGCUGACAGAAUGCUUAACACAUGCAAGUCUACUUGAACUUCGGUUUGGGUGGCGGACGGGUGAGUAACGCGUAAAGAACUUGCCUCACAGUUAGGGACAACAUUUGGAAACGAAUGCUAAUACCUGAUAUUAUGAUUUUAGGGCAUCCUAAGAUUAUGAAAGCUAUAUGCGCUGUGAGAGAGCUUUGCGUCCCAUUAGCUAGUUGGAGAGGUAACGGCUCACCAAGGCGAUGAUGGGUAGCCGGCCUGAGAGGGUGAACGGCCACAAGGGGACUGAGACACGGCCCUUACUCCUACGGGAGGCAGCAGUGGGGAAUAUUGGACAAUGGACCAAAAGUCUGAUCCAGCAAUUCUGUGUGCACGAUGACGUUUUUCGGAAUGUAAAGUGCUUUCAGUUGGGAAGAAAAAAUGACGGUACCAACAGAAGAAGUGACGGCUAAAUACGUGCCAGCAGCCGCGGUAAUACGUAUGUCACAAGCGUUAUCCGGAUUUAUUGGGCGUAAAGCGCGUCUAGGUGGUUAUGUAAGUCUGAUGUGAAAAUGCAGGGCUCAACUCUGUAUUGCGUUGGAAACUGCAUGACUAGAGUACUGGAGAGGUAAGCGGAACUACAGGUGUAGAGGUGAAAUUCGUAGAUAUUUGUAGGAAUGCCGAUGGGGAAGCCAGCUUACUGGACAGAUACUGACGCUAAAGCGCGAAAGCGUGGGUAGCAAACAGG